GGCUAAACCGCGGCUCGGGCGGAUGACGCGACGAAAAAUACUAUUUUAAUCAAAUUCGGGCGGGUGGCGGUUUAACGACGCAUGGACCCAUAGAACUCCUCACGGGCGCCGUGUCGUCUCACGUACACCGUGUGCACCGCGCCUUUUUUUUAAUCGAGACUCGUUUUCGUUGUUUGCUAUAUGAUUGUUCUAAAAUCUAAAAUCGUGGGUGCAAAUGGAGAGUUUGGAGUUCAAGUUUUUAGAUUAUCACCACAAAAUUGCAUAAAAGCUUUGGUUGGAAUUAAACACUAAAACAUAUUUUCUGUUUUACAGGUGACUACCCAACAUGCUGUGGAGCUGUAAAUACUAUUUGUCUGGAAUUCAAAAGGAUUGUGGGAAAAGACCUGCACCAGGAAUUUUAUUCUACCCUUGAUAACCACACUACCCAUUUUAUUGAAAGUUUUAAAGCUAAGAGGGGCAACGUGGGUGACAGUUGGCACAGCUUUUGCAGCAAAUACAGUCACUGGAUUCUACUGAAAAAAGGACAGUCACACUAAGAGGUCUUCCUUACUUACUCGGAGACAGUCCCA